rnacentral:snoRNA from 1 species
AGGUCAGUGCGUCAAUAUAUAUGGCGUUAUUUGAGUUGAAAAUUGGCGAUAAAAAAUAGCGAUGUCAUAUGCUGUCAAAACUUCUUUUGUUUUGAUAGCUUUGAAACAAGUCGCGACAUU